GUGGGUGUAGCUCAGUGGUAGAGUGUGUGCUUAGCAUGCAUGAGGUCCUGGGUUCAAUCCCCAGCACUUCCA
rnacentral:tRNA from 1 species